rnacentral:tRNA from 1 species
CCACAAUUGUUAUAGUGGUUAGAAUACUCGCCUGUGAUGCGAGAGGUCUAUGGUUCGAUCAGGCUAUUUUUUUAAA